GGAAUAGGCAAAAGGGAACCAUUAAAGGAAAGGGAGGGGAGAAUGGAAGAGACUGGGAGAGAGAAACUAAUUAGUAAUCCAGGAGGGGUGAUGAUGAUGGCCUUCCCUAAGCUCAGGACCCUGAUUCUUACUUUACUGAGAAAAUGAAAGCCAUUUCAUAUACCAGCAAGAAAGGGUACAAUUACCCUGAACUUUCAAAAGCUUCAACAAGAAACCCUGGAGCAGCAUGUUGAUGGAGUUCACCAGCAGAAACCCAAGGUUAAUCAGCUCUGGAUCCAGUACUAAACACUACUGCAAUCAACAGGGAUUACAAGAGUCUCAUUGAAGAGAAAGACAAUACAAAUCACCAAGGAGAGAGGAAGGAAAGGAAAAGAGGUAUUUUAAAACAAUUAGGUGAAAUACUUGAAAAGUGUAGUGUUUUUAUAAAAUGUUUUAAAAUAUUAUUCUUAAUGGUGGCAAGACAAAAAUGAUCAAAAUAUGGCACUUAAAAGUAAUGAAAUUUAAAAAUAAAAUCCAUGAAAAUACUGUGAGAUGUACACCCAUGUUUUCUAGCUAAAAAAUAAAAGUUAAACCACAAUGAUUAAAAUUAAGUGGCUACUACUUAAAAAAGAGUUUGAGUAACAGAAUUUAUUCCUAGAGGCCAUCCUAAGAAGAUUUCUCAGUUUUUGUCACUGACUGUAUACAUUCUGCUAUUCUUAAAAAAAAAAAAAGUAUUAGCCUUGCCUUUCCCACUAUUUUUUCUAAGUAAAAGAAGAAAUAUUAUUUGGUUUGAGUUUUAAUGUUGAAAACAUCUAUACAAAUAUUUUUGAAAGUACCAACAAAGAGAUACAUGAAGCUAUCAGACUAUUAACUGGCAAAAUAAUCUAUUCCUUAUAACCUCCUGAUCCAAGAGCACAGAGAUAAUGAAAUUCUCACCCCCCCACUUUUUGUAAAUAUCUUUUAUGGAUGACCUCUAAUGGAAGAAUGACUCUUUCCUGAACAAACUAGAAGAAAAGAUUCAUUUUGAUGUGAGGACAAUUUGCAAUCUAUUUUUAAGGUAAUAUCCUAAAGUGUUGUAACUUUUUAAUUAUCCAGAUAGUGGAUGGUGAUUUGUAGAGCUGUCUGGUUUAACCAUUUGAUCUUUUAAAGUCCAUUAUCUGUUAAAAAGAGAUCACUGAAAAGAGAAAGGUGAAAAAAUAACCAUGAUUAUAGUCAACAGCAAAAUUUACCGUGGUUUGUGAACUAAGGA